rnacentral:rRNA from 1 species
GAUGAACGUUGGCGGCGUGCCUAAUACAUGCAAGUCGAGCGAACGGACGAGAAGCUUGCUUCUCUGAUGUUAGCGGCGGACGGGUGAGUAACACGUGGAUAACCUACCUAUAAGACUGGGAUAACUUCGGGAAACCGGAGCUAAUACCGGAUAAUAUUUUGAACCGCAUGGUUCAAAAGUGAAAGACGGUCUUGCUGUCACUUAUAGAUGGAUCCGCGCUGCAUUAGCUAGUUGGUAAGGUAACGGCUUACCAAGGCAACGAUGCAUAGCCGACCUGAGAGGGUGAUCGGCCACACUGGAACCGAGACACGGUCCAGACUCCUACGGGAGGCAGCAGUAGGGAAUCUUCCGCAAUGGGCGAAAGCCUGACGGAGCAACGCCGCGUGAGUGAUGAAGGUCUUCGGAUCGUAAAACUCUGUUAUUAGGGAAGAACAUAUGUGUAAGUAACUGUGCACAUCUUGACGGUACCUAAUCAGAAAGCCACGGCUAACUACGUGCCAGCAGCCGCGGUAAUACGUAGGUGGCAAGCGUUAUCCGGAAUUAUUGGGCGUAAAGCGCGCGUAGGCGGUUUCUUAAGUCUGAUGUGAAAGCCCACGGCUCAACCGUGGAGGGUCAUUGGAAACUGGAAAACUUGAGUGCAGAAGAGGAAAGUGGAAUUCCAUGUGUAGCGGUGAAAUGCGCAGAGAUAUGGAGGAACACCAGUGGCGAAGGCGACUUUCUGGUCUGUAACUGACGCUGAUGUGCGAAAGCGUGGGGAUCAAACAGGAUUAGAUACCCUGGUAGUCCACGCCGUAAACGAUGAGUGCUAAGUGUUAGGGGGUUUCCGCCCCUUAGUGCCGCAGCUAACGCAUUAAGCACUCCGCCUGGGGGGUACGACCGCAAGGUUGAAACUCAAAGGAAUUGACGGGGACCCGCACAAGCGGUGGAGCAUGUGGUUUAAUUCGAAGCAACGCGAAGAACCUUACCAAAUCUUGACAUCCUUUGACAACUCUAGAGAUAGAGCCUUCCCCUUCGGGGGACAAAGUGACAGGUGGUGCAUGGUUGUCGUCAGCUCGUGUCGUGAGAUGUUGGGUUAAGUCCCGCAACGAGCGCAACCCUUAAGCUUAGUUGCCAUCAUUAAGUUGGGCACUCUAAGUUGACUGCCGGUGACAAACCGGAGGAAGGUGGGGAUGACGUCAAAUCAUCAUGCCCCUUAUGAUUUGGGCUACACACGUGCUACAAUGGACAAUACAAAGGGCAGCGAAACCGCGAGGUCAAGCAAAUCCCAUAAAGUUGUUCUCAGUUCGGAUUGCAGUCUGCAACUCGACUACAUGAAGCUGGAAUCGCUAGUAAUCGUAGAUCAGCAUGCUACGGUGAAUACGUUCCCGGGUCU